rnacentral:rRNA from 1 species
UACGUAGGGUGCGAGCGUUAAUCGGAAUUACUGGGCGUAAAGUGUGCGCAGGUGGCCGCGCAAGUCGAGUGUGAAAUCCCCGAGCUUAACUUGGGAAUUGCGCUCGAAACUACGUGGCUCGAGUGUGGCAGAGGAAGGUGGAAUUCCACGUGUAGCGGUGAAAUGCGUAGAGAUGUGGAGGAACACCGAUGGCGAAGGCAGCCUUCUGGGCCAACACAUGACG